CCGCCUUUUAGCCUUUGAUACCGUCUAAGCUAGGGUUUUCGUAGGUUUCUUAUCGCUGCUUUCAGCUUAACCUCAAAAUGGGUAAGGAGAAGGUUCACAUCAACAUCGUGGUCAUUGGCCAUGUCGACUCUGGCAAGUCCACCACCACUGGCCAUCUUAUCUACAAGCUUGGAGGUAUUGACAAGCGUGUGAUAGAGAGAUUCGAGAAGGAAGCUGCUGAGAUGAACAAGAGGUCAUUCAAGUAUGCCUGGGUGCUUGACAAACUUAAGGCAGAACGUGAGCGUGGUAUCACCAUUGAUAUUGCUUUGUGGAAGUUUGAGACCACUAAGUACUACUGCACUGUUAUUGAUGCCCCCGGCCACAGGGAUUUCAUCAAGAACAUGAUCACUGGUACCUCUCAGGCUGACUGUGCUGUUCUCAUUAUUGACUCCACUACUGGUGGUUUUGAAGCUGGUAUCUCCAAAGAUGGUCAGACCCGUGAACAUGCAUUGCUUGCUUUCACCCUUGGUGUCAAGCAAAUGAUCUGCUGCUGUAACAAGAUGGAUGCUACCACCCCCAAGUACUCCAAGGCUAGGUAUGAUGAAAUUGUGAAGGAAGUUUCUUCCUACCUCAAGAAGGUUGGAUACAACCCUGAGAAGAUUCCUUUUGUGCCCAUCUCUGGUUUUGAAGGUGACAACAUGAUUGAGAGAUCAACCAACCUUGAUUGGUACAAGGGCCCAACCCUUCUUGAAGCUCUGGACCAGAUCCAGGAGCCCAAGAGGCCGUCAGACAAGCCUCUCCGUCUCCCACUUCAGGACGUUUACAAGAUUGGUGGCAUUGGAACUGUCCCAGUGGGUCGUGUGGAGACUGGUAUCCUGAAGCCAGGUAUGGUUGUGACCUUCGGACCCAGCGGACUAACAACUGAAGUUAAGUCAGUUGAGAUGCAUCACGAGGCUCUCCAGGAGGCCCUCCCUGGUGACAAUGUUGGGUUCAAUGUGAAGAAUGUUGCAGUGAAAGAUCUCAAGAGAGGUUUCGUGGCAUCCAACUCUAAGGAUGAUCCUGCUAAGGAGGCUGCCAACUUUACAUCACAGGUCAUCAUCAUGAACCACCCUGGUCAGAUUGGAAAUGGAUAUGCCCCAGUUUUGGACUGCCACACGUCCCAUAUUGCUGUGAAGUUUGCUGAGAUCUUGACCAAGAUUGAUCGCCGAUCAGGCAAGGAGCUCGAGAAGGAACCCAAGUUUUUGAAGAAUGGAGAUGCUGGCUUUGUGAAGAUGAUUCCCACCAAGCCCAUGGUUGUUGAGACUUUCUCCACGUACCCCCCAUUGGGUCGUUUUGCUGUUAGGGACAUGCGCCAGACUGUUGCUGUUGGUGUGAUCAAGAGUGUCGAGAAGAAGGACCCAUCUGGAGCUAAGGUCACCAAAUCUGCUGCCAAGAAGGGAGGGAAAUGAAUUGUGCUUAGCAGCCGACAAGUCUUGAUGUUUCUGUUGAGAACAUCUUAUAUUUAUCUUAGCUUUUUAAGAUGUUUGAUUAGUGCUUCCAUUUUUACCUUUUUGUGUCCAUCAUCUAGUUGCUGCACCCAGAAUUGGAUGCUAGAUAGGCGGUGGCGAUACUGUUAUGUUUGUGCUUAACACUAUUUUUGUGGUGGAUGUUUGAGAUAAUUCCUAUCUAGUUCCAGAGUUUUUGGUUUUGUUGCGCCAUUUUGUUGAUGAUUUUUUUUUUAUCCAAUUAUGAUCUCUGUUGGAUUUACUAUCUGGUAUGGUGCUGUAAAUGAACACUCUAGUGUGAUUAGACCUGGCCACGAUCGGGGUUUGGUUGGCGUCACGCUUCAGACUGGUUUGGAUUUGAACCAGUUUGGAUUUGAAAUGGUUUUAAUUCAUAAUAAUUUUGGUUUGAAAUGAAA
rnacentral:misc_RNA from 1 species